GCCACCAAUUUCACACGAAGGGGCACCUGUUCCAGAGUUGAACAAGCACCCGGAUGGAGCUGGAGAACUCUGGAAGGCUGGUCAUAAAGAAUAAGCUUCGACUCCUUUUCAAAUGUCUACUUUUGGACUCCUUCAACGUCUUCAAGAAAUGUGGACUUCUGUUCAAGAUGGCGGAUGGCUCCUGAAUACCUCAGCAGAACUUGUGGCCUCUCUGUGACAUGACUGAAUAAAAAGGAAUGUACCAAAACUCA